GAUGAACGCUGACAGAAUGCUUAACACAUGCAAGUCCACUUGAACUUCGGUUUGGGUGGCGGACGGGUGAGUAACGCGUAAAGAACUUGCCUCGCAGAUAGGGACAACAUUUGGAAACGAAUGCUAAUACCUGAUAUUAUGAUUAUAUGGCAUCGUAUAAUUAUGAAAGCUAUAUGCGCUGUGAGAGAGCUUUGCGUCCCAUUAGCUAGUUGGAGAGGUAACGGCUCACCAAGGCGAUGAUGGGUAGCCGGCCUGAGAGGGUGAUCGGCCACAAGGGGACUGAGACACGGCCCUUACUCCUACGGGAGGCAGCAGUGGGGAAUAUUGGACAAUGGACCAAGAGUCUGAUCCAGCAAUUCUGUGUGCACGAUGAAGUUUUUCGGAAUGUAAAGUGCUUUCAGUUGGGAAGAAAAAAAUGACGGUACCAACAGAAGAAGUGACGGCUAAAUACGUG
rnacentral:rRNA from 1 species